AUUUGGCCGGACCCAAAGGCCCCAGAACCCACCGGGGCUCAACGGGGUGGUGAUUGGGGGAGCCGCUAGAGGCCAACUGCGUGUUUGCCAGUGGAAUUCGGUUCAGUUUGUCAUCGUGGGUUCAUUUGAUCUGCUCCUUCCAGGAGGAGGACGAGGAGAGAGCCGGGUAUGCCGAUGGCCUCAGGCAUUUGUCCUCUAUCUUGAUCCCAGAGCAAAGAGACACCCCGACUCUAUAGCUACAUGGGAGCAGCUCCCUCCGAAGGAAGUUCAGAAUCCAACUGGGCGAUAACUACGCUUCAGGAGAACGACAAAAGAUCUACAUCGAAAAGGUAGAAAAGUCUGAGAUACACUCUCACUGUGUACGUCACCCCCGGCACAGUGGCAUGCAAUUGAGAAGGGACUCACAACUCCAACUUGUCCCCAAGGAGCCAAGUGUUGAUCCAAUAUCCAACACCCCAACUUUUAAGACUUCCACCUGAAGGAUGGCCCCCCCCCCAACACCUAGCUCUGAAAGCCUACAGGGCUCAUGUCUCUGAGAUCCACCACACUAGAGCAAACAAAGAAAGGGCUACCUUUCCCCCCGGCCCGAGGGCUCUAUAUCAAAAUUCCAGUGGCAUUUUUCACAGAAAUAGGAAAAACAAAACCAAAAUUUGUAUGGAACUAUGAAAGACCCUGAAAUGCCAAAGCAAUCUUGAGGAAGAGGAACGAAGAUGGAGGCGUCCCUCUUCCUGACUUCAAACUAUACUACAAAGUGAUAGUGAUCACAACUGUAGUGUUGGCAUAAAGAUUGACACAUAGAUCAAUGACACAGAAUCGAGAGCCCAGAAAUAACCCCCAUAUGUAUGCUGAGUAAAUUUACAAUAAAAGAACCAAGAAUAUACAGUGGGGAAAGGAUAAUCCCAUCAAUAAACAGUGCUGGCGAAACUGAAUAUCCACAUACAAAAGAAUGAAAUUGGACCCUCACCUUACACUAUGCCCAGAGUCAACCCAAAAUAGAUUAAAGACUUGAAUGAAGUACAACCUGAAACCAUAAAACUUCUAGAAGAAAACAUAGAGGGUAAGUUCCUCAACAUUAGUCUUAGCCAUUUUUUGGAUUUAACACCAAAAGAAAGGCAACAACAAAAAAUUAAACAAGGUGGGACUCUAUCAAAUCAAAAACCUUCUGCACAGCAAAGGGAAACCAUCAGAAAUUGAAAAGGCAACUUACGGAAUGGGAGAAAAUACUUGCAAAUUGUGUAUCUGAUAAGAGGUUAACACCCCAAAUAGAUAAAGAACUCCU